rnacentral:lncRNA from 1 species
AUGUCCUAUCAAGGCAGAAGUACAUUUUGUUCGUGCAUGCUAAUGACCUGUUUUCAUGUUUUGUGUUUUAGGAAUUAUUCCAUUGCUGUUACUCCUCAUAGACAUGUCUCCUCUUCUCCUGGAGGAAAUUCUGAAGAAGAUUUUUUUAAAGACAUGGUUGCCCAGGUUGGAGUGCAGUGGCCUGAUCUCAGCUCACUUCAACCUCCACCUCCAGGUAAAAGCAUUUCUCCUACCUCAGCCUCCUCAGGUGCACACCACCAUACCCAGCUAAUUUUUGUAUUGUUUAGUGGAGAUGGAGUUUUACCAUAUUGGCCAGGCUGGUCUUGAACUCCUUUUGAUCCACCCACUUUGGCCUCCCAAAGUGCUGGGAUUAUAGGCAUGAGCCUGGCCAAGAAGCCUUUUCAAGGUCGCCUAAUAGGUAAUUGUCAAAGUAGAUAUUUUAAACCCAGGCAGUUUGAUAUCUUAACCUUUACGAUAUUUCAUUUCAUAGAAAUGAAAACAACUAUACAACAAAUUUAGAAAUAGAGAAAUAAAUAUUUUAAUGGGUUUAAAAAAAAUUUGACUUCUGCUUACAGUGAAGUUGAAGUAAUAUAGACUAGAUUUAUUUUCCAAUACUAGAAACCACACAAAACAUAUAAAACAACUGUUUUUGUUAUUUUGCUUUCAUUUUUUUUUUGUAUAUUGAACAAGAGAAAAUGCAGUACAGGAAAGUGAUUCAUGAAUAAGAGAAAACAAGGCAGCUAAGCCCCAUCAUUGCCUCAGCUUAUUGCUUUAACAGAGUUCCUAGGCUUAAAUGCAAAGCAUAUAGAAUGGAACAGAGAUUAGUGGUCCUGCUGAGUUGAGAAGACAUUUGGAGUUCAGAAGACCAAGGUAGUUAAAAUUUAUAAAAAUAAAUUUGGAGAGUAGAGAGACUGACAGAGGGUGAGCCCUGGAUAUUGGCAAUGAAAAUAUCUUUUCUUUUUGUCUAAAUAUUGAAUUUUGUCUGCAUGAGAGGGCAUUGAUUCAGGUGAAGAAAAUAAUAGUUGGAGAGAAAUAGUGCUUAUAACUCCUCAGAAGAUUUCUAUACUAAGUGAUUAUUUUUGAUCAUUCUAACAAUUCUAACUUAGAAGUAAUUAUUGGAAAGGAUCCAACUGGUCUAAAGUGUCUUAACUGUGAUCUAUUACAAAGACCAACAAUAUUUAAAGGACUACAAAAAACAUCCAGAGAACAAAAACAUAAAUUCCAUAACGCCCAACACCCAAACACAAAUUAACAGGCAUGAGAGGAAAUAGAAAAAUAUAAUCCAUAACAGAGAAAAAUCAAUAAAUAGAAGUAGGCCCUCAAAUUUAAGAUAUUAUAGAAUUAGCAGAAAACAACACUAAGGUAUCUAUUAUACAUAUAAUUCGUAUUUUUAAAAGGUAUAAAAAUGAUAGACGUGGAAAGAAUGAAAUUGAAUUUUUAGAGAUGAAAUACACUAUCUGAAAUAAAAUAUACAUUGGAAGAUAUUAACAGAAGAUCAGAAACUGCAGAAUAAAAUGUCAAUAAAUAUAAAUAUAUAGAAAAAAAUUAUUCAAAUAAAACACAGAAUGAAAAAACCCACAAAUAUUAGCAUGACUUCUGUAGGUUACUACUGAGCUGCUACUAACAGGUUACUUUCGGGUAUAACAAUUUGAGGCAAUUACCAAUAUAAUGAAUUGGACAAAUAAUAGUCAACUGUGAAGAUGUAACUGAAUUAUGUAAGGAGAACAAUUGUGUGUGUGUGUGUGUGUAUAUAUAUAUAUAUAUAUAUAUGCACUAUACACAUAUAUAUACACUAUAUAUAUAUAUACAUGAUAUAUAUAGUACAUAUAUAUACAUAUACACGAUAUAUAUAGUAUAUAUAUACUAUAUUUAUUCAUAUAGAUACACAUACAUAAAAGUUAUUUUAACAAAGUCUAUGCAGCAGCUUUUGGACUCAAUUCUUUGUCCUUGAAGGUAAGAAUGUUGUCAUUCUGUUUUGCAUAAGAAAUGGGUCUUUACAUGGGAAUUACAUAUUUGUGGGUUUUUACAUGUUUUUUCUAAAUAGUAUGUCAGAAAACUGAGGAGUUUGGAUAAAGAUAAAAAGAAAGAAUUUUCGAAAGGAGGAGGGGGAGCUCUGGAAAGGAAAAAAAGGUUUUAGUUAGCUUUGAGACAGUAUUUUGUAGCAAGGCAGUCUUUGAGUCCUGAAUGGUUCUUCUUUGUUUUCUAGCCUCAAGAUAUCAAUGAGAUAUGCAUCUCUUGUUUAAAAAAUAAAAUUUUAUAGCAGCAAUUUUUAAAUUUAGUUUUAAAACAACAGAAUGUUUGAAUGAGCCAUAUAAUAUUUGAGCAUAUUACCAGUCAGAGUGCCAGAAAAUGUCUUGGCAUGACUUUAAACUUUCUUGUGUUGAGUUUAUCCAAAGCCAUAAGGUGCAGGAAUUUUCCCCAUAGUUUUUAAAUGUAAAGGUUGCCUGAGUACCUGAAGGCAGCUGGUCGGAGAUUCAAUAUAUGCAUUAAAAUUGAUCUAAAGCUAAAAGUAAUACAGAUGACUUUUUUUAAAAGAUAAAUGACUUUUUCAUAUAUAGCUCAGAUUUGUUUAAUGGUAUGGGGAAAGAAUAACAGCAAAUUUGAAAACGGGAGCCCCAAUGCCUCCUAAAAGAUCCAUGUACUAUGAUAAAGCAACCUGUUCAUUGCCAUUCUCAGAUUGCAAAUGCAUAGAAAAUACUAAAGAGACUCUCAAGCUUGGAAGAUGGUUGGCUCUCCUUUACACAGUAUUAUGUUUCCUUAUUGAAGUGUAAACUUUAUGAGAGCAGAAAUCACAUAAUUUGUUUGCUUCCAUAUUUUUAACUUCUGUGACAGUGGAAUGUAAAAUAUGCUGUUGACAGAUUGAUUGAAUGACAUAUAGGAGGAUUCAUAAACCAAAGUAGUUAACAAAAAAAGGAUAUUUAAUAAAUUAUUUAACUCAUUUCUAUCAAAGAGACAGUAAGAGUCGGUGGAGGAGGGAAGAGGCAGAAAAAAUAUGAAACUACUGUAAUGAAAAGAAAAUGUAAACAGCCAACACGAAAUUGAUCAAUGAAAGGGAAAGUAGUCACAUGCAACAUGACACAUAACUGAGGUAGCUUUACAGAAGUGUAUGUGAAGAAUAAAAACAGGAAGUAAAGGAGAAUGGAAAAUUUAUAAGAUAGACACACAAAAGGUGCAUAAAAGUCCGUUUAAGAAGUAAUGCAGGCCGAGUGCAGUGGCUCACACCUGUAAUCCCAACAUAUGGGAGGCCAAGGAGGGUGGAAAAUUUGAGGUCAGGAGUUUGAGACCAGCCUGUCCAACAUGAUGAAAACCUGUCUCUACUAAAAAUAUAAAACAAUGAGCAAGGCAUGGUAGUGCAGGCCUGUAAUCCCAGCUACUUCGGAGGCUGGGCAUGGUAGCACACACCUAUGAUCCCAGCUACUUGGGAAGCUGAGGCACAACAAUCUCUUGAACCAGGAAACAGAGGUUGCAGUGAGCCAAGAUCAUGCCACUGUGCUCCAGUCUAGGUGACAGACUAAGCCCCUAUCUCAAAAGAAGGAGGAGGAGGAGGGGGAGGAGGAAGUAAUGAAAAGGCUUUGGCAUAGAUAGUCUGACACUCUGCCAACAUCAAUUUAUGUGAUGAUUUAUACCACAAUCAAGGCUUUUGUCUAUUAAUCCAACAGUUCUACUACAAAUAAUUUCUAACAAGCAUCACAAAAAACUUGACCCAAAAGAUUAAGUAAUAAAGUAGUAUCUUACUUUGUAGAAACUCACCAGAAAGCCAACAAAAAUGAUAUAAAAGACCAAGAAACAAUGGUGUGAUAAUGUGAUUGUAAAAGGACCCCUGUACCUAUAAUCCCUGGUCCUUUGCCUGCGAGAUUUUGUAACUACUUUCAAGGGAAGGUGUAGCCAAUUUUUCUUUUUUCAAUUUGAGCUGGACUUUUCCCUUAUUUGGUCAGAAUUAUGUGGCAUAAACAAUGCGUUGCCAGUUCUGAGCCUAGACUUUAAGAGGCUAUACACACUUAUUAUCUCUGGAAACCAUGCAGAGCUGCCUUAAGCUAGGUGGGGGACAAUGAAAGAUAGGAGAGGCCCUGUGGACCACGUUCCCAGCCCAACCCUCUGAAGAGGACUCAGCUUGCUGACUGGCUGCUGGAAGCACUUGUAUACAUGAGGACCCAGCCAAAAUCAGAACUGUACCACCCAGAUGGCUGGCUUGCUGAAAAGCAAAAGCUAACUUAGCUACAUGGUUUGUAAAUACACUAGUAUUUAAAAUUUAUAGAAUCGUCUACCUCACUUCCCACCAAAAAUAAAUUCUGAGUUUCUAUUUGCCAAUUUGAGAAUUAAUAAAAUUGUUGAAUAUAGG